rnacentral:tRNA from 1 species
GCCUUCUUAACUCAGUAGGUAGAGUACCUCCAUGGUAAGGAGGAAGUCGCCGGUUCAAUUCCGGCAGAAGGCU